UGCUUGCACCUGGUGGCGAGUGGCGAACGGGUGAGUAAUACAUCGGAACAUGUCCUGUAGUGGGGGAUAGCCCGGCGAAAGCCGGAUUAAUACCGCAUACGAUCUACGGAUGAAAGCGGGGGACCUUCGGGCCUCGCGCUAUAGGGUUGGCCGAUGGCUGAUUAGCUAGUUGGUGGGGUAAAGGCCUACCAAGGCGACGAUCAGUAGCUGGUCUGAGAGGACGACCAGCCACACUGGGACUGAGACACGGCCCAGACUCCUACGGGAGGCAGCAGUGGGGAAUUUUGGACAAUGGGCGAAAGCCUGAUCCAGCAAUGCCGCGUGUGUGAAGAAGGCCUUCGGGUUGUAAAGCACUUUUGUCCGGAAAGAAAUCCUUGGUUCUAAUAUAGCCGGGGGAUGACGGUACCGGAAGAAUAAGCACCGGCUAACUACGUGCCAGCAGCCGCGGUAAUACGUAGGGUGCGAGCGUUAAUCGGAAUUACUGGGCGUAAAGCGUGCGCAGGCGGUUUGCUAAGACCGAUGUGAAAUCCCCGGGCUCAACCUGGGAACUGCAUUGGUGACUGGCAGGCCAGAGUAUGGCAGAGGGGGGUAGAAUUCCACGUGUAGCAGUGAAAUGCGUAGAGAUGUGGAGGAAUACCGAUGGCGAAGGCAGCCCCCUGGGCCAAUACUGACGCUCAU
rnacentral:rRNA from 1 species